AUUUCCCACCGUGCCGCAGGAUGACACUGGGUUACAACCAUCCCACACGAGGAGAGUGACAUGUCCCAACUUGCUUCUGGCCCAUGUUUUACAAGAAGCUUGUCCGGCAGGCAAAAUAGCCCUCAACACAGGAACACCUGUUGCAGCACCUGUCAGUAGCGUCUGGCACCCUGGCAGCUGACGUCUCAGUGCAGCCGGCAAGGACACUCUGGGAAGAGGACGCAGUGGCCUUAUGAGUGAACGACGGAGAAGCCGGAGGGAGGAGGCCUGGCCUGUCUGCAGCUGUCCAUCUGCCGAUGCUCCUAACAGUUCGCCCUCAGAAGACCACGAGGAAGCCUGGGGUGCCUGGCCAUUCAGAGGUCCUCAGUACACGGACAUCCCUUGGUAUCCUCAGAGAAUUGGUUCCAAGACCUCCUGCAAAGACCAAAAUCCACAGAUGCUCAAGUCUUUUAUAUCAAACGGUGUAGUAUUUGCGUGUAUCCUAUGCACAUUCUCUAGUAUACUUUAAAUCAUCCCUAAAUUAUUCCUAAUACCUAAUACAAUGUAAAUAGUUGUUACACUGUAUUGUCUUUUGGAUUUGUAUUAUUUUCAUUGUUGUAUUGUUUUUUUCCCAAAAUUUUUUUUUUUGAGAUGGGGUCUUCCUCUGUUGCCCAGGCUGGAGUGCAGUGGCAUGUUCAUGGCUCACUGCAGCCUUGAUCUCCCAGGCUCCAGUGAUCCUCCCACCUCAGCCUCCCAAGUAGCUGGGACUACAGGCAUGCACCACCAUGCCUGGCUAAUUUUUGCUUUUUUUUUUUUUUUUUUUUUUGUAGAAGUGGGGUUUCACCAUGUGGUCCAGGCUGGUCUCAAACCCUGGAGCUCAAGAGAUCUGCACUCCUCGGCCUCUCAAAAUGCUGAGACUACACGCAUGAGCCACCAUGCCCGAGCCCAGACAUUUUCAAUUUGUGGUUGCUUGAGCCUGCAGAUGUGGAACCCUCAGGUACAGAGGGCCAACUGUGCAUUAUUUUGUGGUAUGAAUAAAUAUUACUAAUUGAUUUGAUUCUUUUCAAAGGGUGCUGCCCUUUACCUAAAAUGCAAAUUACAACUAAUGGGAUUUUUCUCCCAUUCUGUUAUCCAUAACCAAUCCGUUUUAAUGCUUUCAGGUUCUUUAUAAGAUUUAGGUGUGAUUCACUAACAAACUGAGCUUCCAAAACCAAUAUGUAUGUAAACAUGAUAAUACAGUCAUUUUCUCCAGACAUGAGUAUAAAUAGUACUUUAAAGUAAAAAAUAUACAUAUCAAAAUGUAAAACACCAAUGAGAAUAUAUCUUAACAAAAAUGUAUAAAACAUUUAUACAUAAAUUUUUUAAAGUACUGAAAAACAUUUUUUUAAAUACCUAAUAAAUGGAAAAUCAUUCCAUAUUCAUGGAUUGGCAAAGUCAAUGUAAAAGUGCUGAUUCUCCCUAAAUUGAUCCACAGGCAAUGCAGUUCCAAUCAAAAUCCCAAACAUUGUCUUGUUGAGUCUGACAACUGAUUUAUGCAGAAGGACCAAGGACCGCCAAGGCUGUGCUGAGGAACACAGGUGUGGAAGGCUUGCCUUCCCAGACAUGCAGAAGCCAUGGGAUCCGGGGAGCCAAGAUAGGGACCAGCCUGCAUUUCUGUUCCACUUUUACUACUAAUUGGGACUUUGGCCAAGCAAUGCCCUUUCUCUGGGUCUUCGAGCCCUCGUCUCAAAACUAUGCUCAUCCUCAGCUCUUCCAUUAAGAAGCUCACAUAUUCAAAGUACACCUCAAAAUGAUCUGAAAACCCACACUACAAUCCUAAAGUCACAAAGUCAUUCUGACUUUCCUAGAGAAAGCCUUUAAGAAACACACCUGCCUGUGGAGCUCAUCGGUAAACUCCAUCCAAGCAGGAACGCCACCCACCCAGCCACCCACGUCCUCAGCUACUGACAUAAGCGAGGCUGAAAGAGAAGUUUCUGUUUGGGUGCCUGGUGUGUGGCACACACGGCUGCUUGGGCCGGACCCCUGACAACCAGUGGACAACUAGCUCAUUGUCUGAAGCACAAUCCUCCUUUUCCUUCUAUAAAGGUGACUUUGUGUUCUCCUUUGGGAAAAGUAAUAAGCAAUUCUCUGCUGGGUUUCUGGGUGCAGUGUGUUCUAGGAAGGGAUCUGAUAUGGUUUGGCUGUGUCUCCACCCAAAUCUCAUAUUGAACUGUAGCUCCCACAAUUCCCACGUGUUGUGGGAGGGACUCGGUAGGUAACUGAAUCACAGGGCUGGGCCUUCCCGUGCUGCUCUCGUCCUGACAGUGAAUAAGUCUCACAAGACCUGAUGGUUUUCUAAGGGGGAGUUCCCCUUCAUAAGCUCUCUUGCCUGCCAUCAUCCACGUAAGAUGUGACUUUGCUCCUCCUUGCCUUCCACCAUGAUUGUGAGGCCUCUGCAGCCAUGUGGAAAUGUGAGUCAAUUAAACCUCUCUUUAUACAUUUCCUAGUCCCAGGUAUGUCUUUAUUAGCAGCAUGAAAAUGGACUAACACAAGAUCAGAGCAGGUCUCUCCACGUGCAGAACACCCCAGGACCCAACACUUCACUAAAAAACAAGAACACAUGGACACCAUGCCUGACCUCGAGGUCCCACCAACCCACUGCCCCAAGCCCAGGAGGAAGCCUCUGU
rnacentral:lncRNA from 10 species